UUUGAAGACAGAAACGAGAUGGCCUUUUUGAAGUUUGGAUUUUUCAUUUUCGUCGUUUGCUACAGCACAGCUGCCGCUGGGGUUAUCGAUGCGCGGUCCGGACGGGGCAAGAUGUCAGCGACGCAGGACAACUGCAAAGACUGUAAGCAAAUCCUGGAGCUGUUCGUAGAUGUGAUCUCUGACGCCGACACACAGG